CGCUGAUACUGUUAAUGCUUUUGUACUAGGAGGCAUACAUGGAAAACCAGUGCUCUAGAUCAUAGCCCUGGAGGGAGUGGAAGGCAAGACCCAAAGUUGAAGAACAAGGCAGGAGCUGAAUGUCCUCACAAAUGCUAGGUAACGGUAGUCACAUCUGUUCAAGACUCAAGCUUGCUGAGAUCUUGAAGUGAAUAUACAUGAUCAAGGACUGGAUGUAAUCAUGCACAUUUAACAGCUAAAAUAAAAGAGAUUAAAGGGAGAAAACUGCCACCAAGCAUACAAUGUUACAUGGACAAUGACAAGAAAAGCAUCUUUGUGAACAGACUGGAGAUCACACGGGAACCCCAACUGUGCUGCUAUGCUGAUGGUGAUCCUUACCCUCUUCAUCCAUAAAGUCAUUUGCUAUAUCACAUCUUGGCACAGAGACGCUCCUUUAUUGCAAUCAUCUCUUCAGUCUGAUGUGAAGAGAAAGCAACCAGAAAUCUGCUUCUAUUACUCUGGGUCUCUCAACAAGAUGUCCACAAAUUUAUGACCUUGGCCUUCUGAUCCUCUUGACACUACAUCCCAGUGCUGAGAUUACAAACCAGUAUAAUGACCGACAUUCAGUUCAUACAGCGCUGGGAAUCAAACCAGGGCCUCUUAAAUGCUAUGCAACUACUCAACCCACAGAGUUUUACUCCCAGUCUCUGCCUGUAUUCAUUUAAGUAAAAAAAAAAAACAAAGUCUCUAUACAAAUUCAUUCAAAUGUGCUUUAAGUAAAACCAUUGCCUCUUUGUUCUCUCUAGUAGAAUCAACAUAAAGUACAAACAUAGAUUUUCAAUAUUGUGGAAUUUUUCAGUUACUGAUUUCCACAAAGCCACAUGAUUUCCAAAGAUAAUCCAAUCACAAGCCAGCUGGUUCCCCUAUGAAGCCACAUGCAUGCUGUGUAGAAUAAAUACAAGAUGAUACCUGCUAAGGGGUACCCAUGCCAAAUCCUCAGUUCAUAUUAUUUGUUUAUUUCAUAUUAUUAAACCUUUCUAACAAGGCUUAGAAAGGUUCAGUGACCUGGCCAGAGUCACC